CAUUAUAAUAUUCUUGUUUGUUGUUUUGUUCGUUCAAUUACAAAGUACGCAUAUUUACGUCAGAAGAAGAUAAAUAUAUAUUUGAAGAACGAAUUUAUGUCAGUGGUUCUUCUGAUUAGUGGAUAAUGAAUCCUUCAUCAGCCAGAUAUCUGUCCUUACGUUUAUCUACAGUUGCCCAAAAUGUCCAUGUAACACGAAGGAAAGCAGAUAAAUUUGUUUUUCCAGCGGCUUUCUUACUAGCUAGCUUCGGAGUAGGACUAUCUUCUUUCAGUCUUAAACAGCUGUCCACGACAAAACAGCGAUCGUAGGAUGAACCUUUAAAGCAUAUUGCUUUUUGUUUUUUUUUAGUCAAUCUGCCCUAUUUUUAUGUUAAAACGGCAAAAUAUAAUUUUAGGAAGUAAGCCAUAUCUAAUAGCGCCACUGUUUUUUUGCUAAAUUGUUAUUUCCAAAGAUUAAAGUGAUUAAAUGUCUUUUUUUUCAAA
rnacentral:misc_RNA from 1 species